UACGUAGGGUGCGAGCGUUAAUCGGAAUUACUGGGCGUAAAGUGUGCGCAGGCGGCCGCGCAAGUCGAGUGUGAAAUCCCCGAGCUUAACUUGGGAAUUGCGCUCGAAACUACGUGGCUGGAGUGUGGCAGAGGAAGGUGGAAUUCCACGUGUAGCGGUGAAAUGCGUAGAGAUGUGGAGGAACACCGAUGGCGAAGGCGGGUCUCUGGACAGUUCCUGACACUGAGGCACGAAGGCCAGGGGAGCAAACGGG
rnacentral:rRNA from 1 species